AAAGCUCUGGUUUAAUCACAACUUUUCUGUUUAAUGCUACACCUAGAAAAAACGAAUUAAAAGAAAUAGAACUCCAUUUCAUUAAGUUGCAAUUCAAAGCAUGAAUUACACAAAACCCAUUAACUUUCCUACCAUAAUACUUAAAAUCCCAAAUUACAGAAACUAAUUACAACAAAAAGCUUUUAACCACCGAACCCGUAAAGAGUCCUGCCCUGCCUCUUCAACGCAUACACAACAUCCAUAGCAGUCACUGUCUUUCUUCUCGCGUGCUCAGUGUAGGUCACGGCAUCACGGAUCACAUUCUCCAAGAAAAUCUUCAAGACUCCUCGAGUUUCCUCGUAGAUCAACCCACUGAUCCUCUUGACUCCACCUCUGCGAGCCAGACGACGAAUCGCAGGCUUGGUGAUUCCCUGGAUGUUAUCCCGGAGAACUUUCCUGUGCCGCUUCGCUCCUCCCUUGCCCAGACCCUUGCCCCCCUUUCCGCGGCCUGACAUCUUCUAACAGAUCGAAAUUAGAGCUAUAGAGAAUAAGAGAGAUGAGUAUUGAUGUUGUUGUGUGUGAGAUUGGAGGUUUUGGAUAUUUAUAGAGAGAAGUCAGAAAUCGAUUGCCGAUGGGGAAUGGGUUGAUCCUAGAUAUUGUAUAAAGAGCGGCUUUGGAUCGUUGGAUUAUUUUAAAUGGACGGUUUAAGAUUGCAAACGUUGGUAUUAGGAGGAUCGAUGACGUGGAUAUUAUUAACCAAACAUGCCCUUCCUUCGGUACACGCGCUUGACGGUCUGCGUCGAUACUCCUGCUCAGUGCCAGGCGAUUAACAGUGGCAAUAACAUUUUGAAGACCUGUGAGUUGGUUGCUGUUAGGGCUCUUAAUCAGACCGCCUUCGAUCACGCCUGUUGAUAUAAUUGCUAUUGAUUUCUCAGAGAAGCUGCUGUUCAGGUUGAAGCUGCCAAUGGUUAAAGCUGCUAUGGAGCGUGGAGUUCACUUUGAAAUUACAUACUCUGAUCUUAUUCUGGAUGUUCAAGUUAGGAGGCAAAUGAUAUCAAAUGCCAAGUUACUGGUGGAUUGGACUCGAGGAAGGAAUCUCAUUUUCUCAAGUGCUGCUCCUUCUGUGAAUGAACUUAGAGGGCCAUAUGAUGCUGCAAAUUUAUCAUCUUUGCUUGGGCUCUCUAUUGAACGAGCUAAAGCAGCUAUUUCAAAGAACUGUAGGAAUCUUGUAGCUAAUGCUUUAAGGAAAAAACACUUUUACAAGGAGGCUAUUAGAGUUGAAUUGAUAUCAUCUGAUGAAAAAUCUGGCUCCAAGGAACCAUUGUCUACGGACUGGCUUAAAUGGGAUCCCAUCUCAAGUGGUGAAGGAGAUUUGCAACUAGAGGAUAUGGCAAAGUCUUUCUCUGCCACUAUUAGCGUUUCCAAUUCUGUUAAAGCCAUUGAUUUUGCUUCACUUAUUGGCAGCAUGCCACCUCAUAGUGAAAAGUUUUUGACUGCUAAGGCAGUUGAGCUACCAGUUGCAGCAACUGGAGUGUCUGAAAAUCUUCUUCCAGAAACAGAUUGGAAUUCGUUAUUCAAUUCUCCAUCAAAGAAUCAGACCUUUGAUCAUGGGAGUUCUCAAGAGCUAUGUUUUCCAAACAAUGCUGCAAAAAAUUCAACUAAUUUUGACGAAAUUGGAACUCCUACUAACGCCAUUGAGGAAGAGCCAAAAGAUUCGAAUGGCAAAGAUGCAUUACUUCCUUUGAUUGUAACUCAAAAGCCUGAUUUGCAAUCACAAAAACACAUCCCUAGUUGUGAAUUAAAUGCUAUGGAACUAAAUGAGGAUAUAAUGCAUCAGCUAUCUGCUGCAGAAGUUGAGUUGACGGAUUCUUGUGUUCCUGACAACAAAAGAAUAGAAACUUUAUCUGAGAAUGUUAAUUUUCUAGCUCCUCAGAUUAAAAAGUGUAUGAAUUCACAAGGUUCUGAUGCAUUUUUAGAUGCACAAAAUGUUGUGAUGGAUCCAGACAUGGCAGAGAUGGGUGUAAAAGAUCAGGAAGAUACACCUGUAAUUGAAAAUAUUUCUGGCAGAGAAUAUUGCAAGGAAUCAGAUGAUGAUACUAUUACACUUGGGGAUCAUGUUCGAUUUCCUUUAGUCUGUGGUGAUAUUAAAAUUAAAGAGGCCCCUUCAGUUGCAAAUCAGGAGAACCUAGAGGAGGUGGCGAUGGAAGAGCGAGAGGCUAUGGAGAUCCCAGAGGUGGCAACGGAAGAGCAAGAGGUUAUGGAGACCCUAGAGGAGGUGGCAAUGGAAGAGCAAGCACUUGGAGAUGUAGAUACUGAAAAUGUUCUUGGCCGGGACAAUGAUUUGAAAGCUAAAGAUACCUCUUCAGGUGCACAUUUUAUGCCCUUGGAGGAGGAGGCAAUGAAGGAACAAAAGCUUGAAGAAACUGAUGCUGAAAGUAAUCAUCCAAUGUUCUUCCCAUCUUCUUCAGGGAAAUCCAGGGCAAAGCAGAGGUUACUUCAACAGCCUCUUGUAUUUCCUUUGAAGCGAUUGUUGAAUCCUAUACCUUUCAAAAAGAAAUCUAAAAAAUUUAAACACAAGAUGAAUGUGUAACCAAGCGCUCUCUCCUCCCUCCAAAUAUUUACUCCUGUUCGGAAUCUAUAAUUUUUUAAGAAUUCAAUUCAAUUAAUUUUCUUUUGGUUAAAAA
rnacentral:misc_RNA from 1 species